rnacentral:rRNA from 1 species
UACGGGGGGGGCAAGCGUUGUUCGGAAUUACUGGGCGUAAAGGGCUCGUAGGCGGCCAACUAAGUCAGACGUGAAAUCCCUCGGCUUAACCGGGGAACUGCGUCUGAUACUGGAUGGCUUGAGUUUGGGAGAGGGAUGCGGAAUUCCAGGUGUAGCGGUGAAAUGCGUAGAUAUCAGGAAGAACACCCGUGGCUAAGGCGGUUCUCUAGUACGGUACUGACGCUGAGACGCGAAAGCGUGGGGAGCGAACAGG